CACGUAGGAGGCGAGCGUUGUCCGGAAUUAUUGGGCGUAAAGAGCUCGUAGGCGGUGUGUCGCGUCGGCCGUGAAAACCUGCAGCUUAACUGUGGGCUUGCGGUCGAUACGGGCAUCACUGGAGUUCGGCAGGGGAGACUGGAAUUCCUGGUGUAGCGGUGAAAUGCGCAGAGUAUCAGGAGGGAACACCCGGUGGCGAAAGGCGGGUCUCUGGGC
rnacentral:rRNA from 1 species